AGCAGCCGUAUUACAUCAACGGCACUUAGAAUAAACGUAAUGGCUUGGUAUCCAAAGGCGCAAGUUGGAAUUAUCUUGCUGCUUUUCUCUCUUGCCUCGAUAUGGUCCGAAGCUCAGGCGAGAAAAUUCCGGAACUACAAGCAUUGCGGCCUAUC
rnacentral:lncRNA from 1 species